ensembl:lncRNA
GAAAGUGAAAAUGGAGAGUGAAAAUGUUGCCUUAAAGCUCAUAAUACAGAAAACUAAGAUCAUGGUAUCUGGUCCCAUCACUUCAUGGCAAAUAGAUGGGGAAACAGUGGAAACAGUGUCAGACUACAUUUUUGGCCUCCAAAAUCACUGCAGAUGGUGAUUGCGGCCAUGAAAUUAAAAGAUGCUUACUCCGUGGAGGGAAAGAUAUGACCAACCUAGACAGCAUAUUCAAAAGCAGAGAUAUUACUUUGCCAACAAAGUGAUAUCCUUAAUACAAAACUCAUCAAAAGGAAAAAGCACUGUGGAUUCCCAAGAAAAGAGGAUGGAAACAACAGAGAGACCAGUUCUGUUAAUGUGCCCAAUGCAUUGGCAACAAAUCCGAGAUAAAUGCUUGUAUUUUGUUGAAGCUUCCA